rnacentral:misc_RNA from 1 species
GAUGAAGAACGCAGCGAAAUGCGAUAAGUAAUGUGAAUUGCAGAAUUCAGUGAAUCAUCGAAUCUUUGAACGCACAUUGCGCCCGCUAGUAUUCUGGCGGGCGUGCCUGUCCGAGCGUCAUUUCAACCCUCAAGCCCCCGGGCUUGGUGUUGGGGAUCGGCGAGCCUCCGCGCCCGCCGUCCCCUAAAUCUAGUGGCGGUCUCGCUGUAGCUUCCUCUGCGUAGUAGCACACCUCGCACUGGGAAACAGCGCGGCCACGCCGUUAAACCCCCAACUUCUGAACGUUUGACCUCGGAUCAGGUAGGAAUACCCGCUGAACUUAAGCAUAUCAAUAAGCGGAGGA